ACGAACGCUGGCGGCGUGCUUAACACAUGCAAGUCGAGCGAGGCCCACCUUUCGGGGUGGUGUCCUAGCGGCGAACGGGUGAGUAACACGUGGGCAACCUGCCCUCAGCUCUGGGAUAACUCCAAGAAAUUGGGGCUAAUACCGGAUAUGACUGCUGACCGCAUGGUCUGGUGGUGGAAAGAUUUAUCGGCUGGGGAUGGGCCCGCGGCCUAUCAGCUUGUUGGUGGGGUAGUGGCCUACCAAGGCGACGACGGGUAGCCGGCCUGAGAGGGUGACCGGCCACACUGGGACUGAGACACGGCCCAGACUCCUACGGGAGGCAGCAGUGGGGAAUAUUGCGCAAUGGGCGGAAGCCUGACGCAGCGACGCCGCGUGGGGGAUGACGGCCUUCGGGUUGUAAACCUCUUUCAGCAGGGACGAAGCGAAAGUGACGGUACCUGCAGAAGAAGCACCGGCCAACUACGU
rnacentral:rRNA from 1 species